AGGUGGUGCAUGGUUGUCGUCAGCUCGUGUCGUGAGAUGUUGGGUUAAGUCCCGCAACGAGCGCAACCCUUAAGCUUAGUUGCCAUCAUUAAGUUGGGCACUCUAAGUUGACUGCCGGUGACAAACCGGAGGAAGGUGGGGAUGACGUCAAAUCAUCAUGCCCCUUAUGAUUUGGGCUACACACGUGCUACAAUGGACAAUACAAAGGGCAGCGAAACCGCGAGGUCAAGCAAAUCCCAUAAAGUUGUUCUCAGUUCGGAUUGUAGUCUGCAACUCGACUACAUGAAGCUGGAAUCGCUAGUAAUCGUAGAUCAGCAUGCUACGGUGAAUACGUUCCCGGGUCUUGUACACACCGCCCGUCACACCACGAGAGUUUGUAACACCCGAAGCCGGUGGAGUAACCUUUUAGGAGCUAGCC
rnacentral:rRNA from 1 species